ACCAUCGAUAACAAAGGAGAGCGACGAGGACGGCAGGCAAAGAGGCGACGAACGGAAAAAAAUGAGCGACAAGUGAUGAGCAGUGCAGGCAACAAGGCAAUGAUGACAUCAGGCAAAUUCAGAGAGGUGAUGGUGUAGGCAAUGGGCGGAUAUUGAGCCAAUCAAUUUCUCAUUCUUUUUAUUUACUUUUAAAUUCUUUAGCAACUAGAGAAAAUGAGAGAGUGAAUAGAUGGUGGACGCGAUAGGAACAAAAAGAGGGAGGCAACAUUUGUUUGGCAACUAAUUUAUCUAACAACUAUAAUUAGAUAGAAUGAUGGAAGUUACAUUUAUG
rnacentral:lncRNA from 1 species